AGUGAACGCUGUGGUCGGCCUAACCCCUGCAAGUCGCACGGCAGCACAGUUAUUUCUUGCUCUUACGUGUGGUGCGCGGCGGACGGGUUAGGAAUACAUCGUAAUCUUCUUUUUUGUGAGGGUUAACGUAGGGACACUUACGCUAAUACCGCCUUCGACUUACGGGUGAUAGCAGGGGAUCUUCUGACCUUGCCCGAUUGCAUGUGCCGAUGUCGGAUUAGCUAGUUGGCGGGGUAAAGGCCCACCAAGGCAACGCUCCGUAGCCGGUCUGAGAGGAUGAUCAGCCAGACUGGAACUGAGACAGGGUCCAAACUCCUACGGAGAGCAGCAGUGGGGAAGAUUGGGCAAUGGGCGGAAGCCUGAUCCAACCAUACCGCGAGAGUGAAGAAGACCUUCGGGUUGUAAAGCCCUUUUGUUAGGGAAGAAAAGAAGCAAGUUAAUACGCCGAUGAUCUGACGGUAACCAAAGCAUAAGCACCGGCUAACUUCGUG
rnacentral:rRNA from 1 species